rnacentral:rRNA from 1 species
GUGGGUAAUUUUGGACAAUGGGCGCAAGCCUGAUCCAGCAAUGCCGCGUGCAGGAAGAAGGCCUUCGGGUUGUAAACUGCUUUUGUACGGAACGAAACGGUCCGGGUUAAUACCCUGGGCUAAUGACGGUACCGUAAGAAUAAGCACCGGCUAACUACGUGCCAGCAGCCGCGGUAAUACGUAGGGUGCAAGCGUUAAUCGGAAUUACUGGGCGUAAAGCGUGCGCAGGCGGUUUUGUAAGACAGGCGUGAAAUCCCCGGGCUCAACCUGGGAAUUGCGCUUGUGACUGCAAGGCUGGAGUGCGGCAGAGGGGGAUGGAAUUCCGCGUGUAGCAGUGAAAUGCGUAGAUAUGCGGAGGAACACCGAUGGCGAAGGCAAUCCCCUGGGCCUGCACUGACGCUCAUGCACGAAAGCGUGGGGAGCAAACAGGAUUAGAUACCCUAGUAGUCC